rnacentral:tRNA from 1 species
GGAGAGAUGCCGGAGCGGUUGAACGGGGCGGUCUCGAAAACCGUUGAGGGCGCAAGUCCUCCGGGGGUUCGAAUCCCCCUCUCUCCGCCA